AUUAUCUGGGCGUGGUGGUGGUUGCCUGUAAUCCCAGCUACUCAGGGAGAAUCACUUGAACCCAGGAGGCCAAGAUCAUGCCACUGCACUGCAGCCCGGGUGACAGAGCAAGACUCUCUCUCAAAAAAAAAAAAAAAAGAAAAAAAGAGAUUAGUCUCCCAAAAGUUACUGUUGAAAAUCGGACACCAUCCAAACCAGCAGAUGUUUGUGGGAGUAUUCUCUGUCUUCCAGAACGACUACGGUCAGAAGAUGGGCAGCCAAUGGUGCUCAAACUCAAGGACUGGCCUCCUGGGGAAGAUUUUCGAGACAUGAUGCCAACCAGGUUUGAAGAUCUGAUGGAGAACCUUCCUCUGCCAGAAUAUACCAAACGAGAUGGCAGGCUCAAUCUGGCCUCUAGGCUACCUAGCUAUUUUGUAAGGCCUGAUCUGGGCCCCAAGAUGUACAACGCCUAUGGGUUGAUAACAGCAGAAGAUAGAAGAGUUGGUACAACAAAUCUUCACUUAGAUGUGUCUGAUGCUGUUAAUGUGAUGGUGUAUGUUGGGAUUCCCAUCGGGGAGGGUGCUCAUGAUGAAG
rnacentral:sRNA from 1 species